AGGCUGGAGUGCAGUGGUAAAUCAUGGCACACUGCAGCCUCAACCUCAUGGGCUCAAAGAUGAAGUUUUGCCAUGUUUCCCAGGCUGGUCUCGAACUCCUGGGCUCAAGUGAUCUGCCUAGCUCAGCCUCCCAAAGUGCUAGGAUUACAGGCAUGAACCACUGUGCCCAGCCAAAACCCCAAAAUGGUCUCAGGAAUGGCAUCAGCAGAUCUCAGGACUGUCCUCUCCUGGAUCUCUCACCAGCCACCUCCAACCAGCUGCCAUGGCCUCUCACUCUACUCCAAUCUUCUCUUCCUCCAUCACUUCCCUUGCACACCCUGAUAACCUUGAGAGAGAACUCUUCCCCAGGCUCUGCUCCAAACAUGUCGCCACUCUGCUUAGAACCUUCAAUGACUCCUCAUGGCCUAGUAGGUUUCUCUCCCAUCUGGCUCCAGCUGACGUUCCCAGCACCUUCUCCUGACUCCUGUCUUUUCUUGAACCAGUUCUGCCCAACAAGGAGGAAAGGGCUGACAGAGUGAAAGUCCAUGGUAUGUGGGAAUGUGACUCUUUUCACUUCAAAUUCUACUAUAACUGGAAAGUUUUGGGCAGAGUUGGACAUGUGCACUUGGCUUCCAGAAGACAGAAUUCUUUUAACAGUCAGAGACAACACUGGCUUCCUGCCAUGACAUGAGAUGCAGACAGGAGAGUUGGGAAGCUUUUUAAAGAUGGCACUGUGACUACACUCACAAAUACUCUCCAUGAGGAAGUAAAAGAAAGCACCUGCAACACUCCAGCUGUGCAGACCACUCUGUAAUGGGCUGAGAUCUGAACAGGUGUGCAGAAAGGUGGGUCAACAGGUCAGGCGUCACAGACUUGGAACAUUCAUGGUGGAAAAGAAAAAGUCCCAAAGAAGAGACUUCAGGAUAAAUGAGAAAAUACUCAAGACAGCCAAAGUCUCUUUUAGAAGCGUUGGAGAAAGAACAUUUAAUGUCAAGAGUUACUGUUGAUUGAUGGCCUUACUAUGUAGCAGGUGAGAAACCCACUGUUCAAUUCCCUAAAAUCACCCUAUUCUCCCAAUCAUCCUAUGCAGGAGAAAUCAUGAUGGUUAUCCCCAUCUUAUAAAGCAACAGAGGCUUAGAAGGAUGAACUGUCUUUGUCAAGGUUACUCAGAUCAUUUUGCAGAAGUUCCCAGAUUUGAAUCAUGCUCUUGCUUUGAGGUUAAAGACACAGGGGAAGUUGAACUCCUUAUUUCCUCUAUAUCCUCAAUAGAGAAAACCAAACACGGUCAGUAGGAGAGGAAGCCUGAGAGUUGGCAUGAAUCAGAGUGCUGGGCAAUCUGGAGUCUUCCUCGCUGGGUUGAUGAGGGAACAUGAGAGUGGGGCCUGAGCUGCAUUAGGGUGUCUGAGCUGCUGAAUGAUUCAUGUGAACCCCAAGCACACAGGAGUGAUGUUUUGAGCAGUGUGCCACAGGGGCCUGCCCUCAGGUCCCGCCAGUCCUACAUUUUAUCAAUGACUUACGUGAACACAGAAAAUGUGGAUACAACCAAAAAGUAACAAUCUAAUUAAAAAAUGGACAAAAGACUUGAAUAAACAUUUCUCCAAAGAAGAUAUACAAAAGAUCAAAAAGCAUAUGAAAAAAUACUCAACAUCACUAAUUAUUAGAGAAAUGCAAAUCAAAACUAUAAUGAGAUACCACCUUAAGUUCAUUAGGAUGACUGCUAUAAAAAUUGUAAACAAACAAACAAACAGAAAAUAAGAAGUGUUGGGGAAGGUGUGGAGAAAUUAAAAUUUUUGUGCACUGUUAGUGGGAAUGUAAAAUGGUGCAGCUGUUAUGGGAAACGGUAUGGCAGUUCCUCAAAAAAUUAAAUGUAGAAACAGC